rnacentral:lncRNA from 1 species
GCAAACUCAAGAGCUUUCACUCCACACUUGCCCACACGUUUUUUGCCUCCAAGCUUCCAAGCUUUCAAGUGCUCAAGUGUCCUAGCUUUCCAAAGCUUCAAAAGCUCUCCAACUUCUUCUUCUAAUCUUCUUGUUCAUCUUUACAAGUAAGAAGUGUUGUUUACUUUAAUAUUCCACUUCUCUAAUAACCUCUUGUGUGUGUCCACUUUGGUUGAGAGGGUUGUCUCAAUAGUACCAAAGUGUGAGAGAAGGUUUUUGAGCUCAACCAUAAAGCUCUAGUUUGGUUUUAUAGAGUUUCCAGAAAAACUCUUAGGUCGAAUCUACCUUGAAAGAUUUCUAGAUUUUUAAGAGUUCCUUGAUACUCUAAGGUACUAACUUACCCGUAAAAGUUAAAGGUUCUUAAGAGUGCCCUUGAUACUCUAAGGUGUGAGUCUACCCGUAAAAGACUGGUUCCUAAGCGAAGUAGCCUUAAAGCUUAGAGAGGUUUUUAAGAGUUUCUUGAUACUCUAAGGUACUAACUUACCCGCAAAAGUUAGAGGUUCUUAAGAGUGCCCUUGAUACUCUAAGGUGUGAGUCUACCCGUAAAAUACUGGUUCCUAAGCGAAGUAGCCUUAAAGCUUUGAGAGGUUUUUAAGAGUUUCCUUGAUACUCUAAGGUUUUGCCAUAACCUUUAGGCGAGUGAAUUCCGGCAGUUGGUCGGGACUGGACUAGCCCUUGUUUGGGUGAACCAGUAUAAAUCUCUUGUGUUGCUUUCUGUUAAUUAUAGUUUUAUCUUUUAUCUAAAAACAACUAAAUCAACACUUAAUUAAAAAGGAUCCCUCAUCCAGUUAUCUGGUCAACUAUCUGAGGUUAUAUUCAUUGCUUUACAUCCUUAUAUUUGUUCAAGUAUUUACUUAUCAUAUAUAUCCAGUUAUCUGGUCAUUUACUUGCUUAUCAAUAUAUCCAGUUAUCUGGUCAUUUACUUGCUUAUCAAUAUAUCCAGUUAUCUGGUCAUUUACUCUACAAUACAAUUUGUGUUUACAAUAUAACUUAGUAUUCAUAUACUAUAGUUGUGUGUAAAACACUAUCAAGCAAGUUGACUCAGUAUUCAUAUACUGUGGUAAGCUUCGAAGAGUAAUAAUUACGUUAUUAUAUCAAUCAAAGUUAUAAUAUCUUUAUAUCAUUAUUGUUCAACCAUUUGUUUAUUAAGCGUUUACAGGUAAUUCCGCAAUCAACCUGUAUAAAUCGAAAAGAGGCUAUUAUCCCCCCCUUAUAGUCUCGGAUCACGAUCCAACAAUUUCAACAUAUCAUGUCCGUAACAUACUUCGAAAACUUUCUGAAGAGUUCCAUGGUACGAAAGAUCAUCAAUUUUCGGAUCGUCAUUUGGAUUCUUUAAGUAUGUGGAUGUAGUAGCGGAGACCAAGACACCGUGAUUUUGUGUCUUUUUUAAAUUUGACACUUCAAACGAAAGAAAUUUCACAUCGUUUAAGAUGUAGCCGUUGUACGAUUUUAUUAAAAAAUUUGGACCUCUUGAUAUCGAACAAAUAUCUCGUGAAAUAUUCUCGUCCUUGCC